rnacentral:rRNA from 1 species
GCUGGCGGUGCGCCUUAUGCAUGCAAGUUGAGCGAAGCUUUUUGGUAGUUUACUACUAGAAAUGACUGAGCGGCGAACGGGUGAGUAACGCGUGAGCAAUCUACCUUAGUUACUGGGAUAGCCCGAGGAAACUCGGAUUAAUACCGGAUAUUCUUAUUUUUUCACAUGAAGUUUUAAGGAAAGGUCAGCCGAACUAAGAUGAGCUCGCGUUCUAUCAGCUAGUUGGUGGGGUAAAAGCCUACCAAGGCUACGACGGAUAGCUGGUCUGAGAGGACGAUCAGCCACACUGGGACUGAGACACGGCCCAGACUCCUACGGGAGGCUGCAGCAGGGAAUAUUGUGCAAUGAGCGAAAGCUUGACACAGCGACACCGCGUGUGGGAUGACGGUUCUAGGAUUGUAAACCACUUUCAGGAGGGAAGAAAAUGACGGUACCUCCACAAGAAGACCCGGCCAA